UUAAAACACUGGUUCCAGUUCGACCACCGAGGUUAAGCAACGUCGAUCUUGGUCAGUACCUAGAUGGGUGACCGUUUGGGAAUACCAGGUUCUGUAA